CACCAAGGAUUAUCUAAGGAUAGCUAGUUUUUAAAUUGUGAAAAGUAUAAGUAAGCUAAGGCUUCAUUACCUUCCAUUCUUUCAGGGAAAGUUUCAGUUCACAGCUUGCAAGGAUGUGCUGUCCUCUCUUUAAACUUGCUAUGGUUUUACCAAAAUAUUCCUCUGAAAAGGAAACUCCAGUGUUUACACAGAUGCUGUUAUCAGGGCAUAUUAUAUGCGGAAUUUCAGCCUUAGCUGUUCCAUGCAUGACACAAUAGAAUGAUUAUUGGAUUUCAAGUCAGAGAACCAGGGUACAAAAACCACCUCCAUCGCUUUAGCAGAGUGAUCCUGGGCAAGUUAUUUGAAUUCUUUGCGCCUCAGUUUCCUUCAUCUGUACAGGGAAGAGGUUUGGCUGGAUUAACUCCCCUUCCAGCUCUGCCUCUGUGUCUGCUCUUACAUGGUAGCCAGGAGUUGCUUUCACCACAUUGUACAGCUCCUCUGUGGAUAGGAGUACAAAAUGAGGACCUCCGUUAUAGGAUCUGCAGUCUCCCAGAGUGGAAGGAAUGGCCACACAGAUUAAAUCAAGGAACUUUCCAAGCAUCAAAUUAAAGUGUCUUAAAAAAAAUUGCUCCUGUACCCUGCCACUUCGUGCUAUUGUUACUAUCCUGUCCUGCUUCUUCUAAUUUGUGGUGUAUAAUCUUCUGUUGGCUAUUGGAAUAUGUGUAUAGUUAGAGUAAAUAGGCAUUGAGUGAGGACCCAAGGGACUCUCACAAAGUACAUGAGCUUUCAAACGUAGACUUUGGCUGGAUCCUUCCCACUUUUCUAUCUUCUCACACCUUUCACCUCUUCACAUCUUCUGUAAUCCAGUGAUACUGGCAUGCUCGCUGUUCCUCACACAUGACUCCAUCUCCUGACUAAACAUUUAUACUGGCUCUCUCCCAUACCUGCAGCUUUUUCCUUCUUCAUCUCUGCCUCCUAGCUCCUCAGACUUCCUUCACGUCUCAGCUAAAAUCCUACCUCCUUCAAGAAGCAUUUUAUAAUCCUUCUCAAUCUUAGUUCUUUCUUUCUGAGACCGUCUUCAAUUUAUCCCAUCUUUAUCCUGUUUGUACACAGCUGUUUGCAGGUUGUUGUCUGAAUUACCCGUAAACUCCUUGAACAAGGACUGUUUUUGUUUGUUUUUUCUUUGCCUUUCCUUGUAACUUAGCACAGUGCCCGGCACAUAGGAGGGACUUAAUAAAUGAUAUUUGACUGACUGUUAGGAGACCUUG
rnacentral:lncRNA from 1 species